CAUUAACUGCUAUGGUCAUAUUACCCCAAUUAGGGCGCCCCCAAAUCUCUCACUACACUUUAGAUCUGUCUGUAUAUACCUAUUUCUCUUAGAAAACUUAGGGUACUUUUUGCAUUUAUCGUUGCACAGAAGUUUUCGACAUAUUCUCGAUUUAAACUAUGCAGCGCCCUUUCGUUGUUAUACAUGGGGCAUUCCUGAAUUAUGUGCCGAAUGGUUACAGCAGUCCCACAUCGUUCGCACUGUCGGGCAAUCUCACCCUUAAGAAUGUGUUGGUGCGUUAUCUGCGCAUGCCCUAUUCGCAGUCGGUGCAUUUUUACAUUUUCUUCCCUAGUGGCCUGGUCUAACACAUAGAGUUUCCGUACAUCUGGUUUUAUUCGGGUCAGGUAUUCUCCUAAGUCCAACGGAUGUAUAAGGUUAACAUCAAUGUGAUUACUUAACGCAGCCUGGCAUGCAGCAUGGUCUGCUUGAUCGUUUCCAGAACUUGAGAAUGGACUGGCAUCUUUUCGUCAUCGCACCAACAGGAUAUAUUUCAGAGAUCCCAUUCACUGCUUCCAUACAAUCUGUGACGAUGAUAACAUUUUGUCUAUCGCCGAUGGAGCAAUAUAACAACGCCUGCCACAGCGCAUAUUGUUCGGCAAAGCGAAUUGAGGACCACGAACAUAAACUCCAUUCAUAGGACUCUUCUCCAAUCACCAUCGCACUUCCAACACCUCUCUCCGUUCUAGACCCGUCAGUAUAGAUGAUUUCAUACGAAGGAUAUUCAUUACAUAUAUCUUGGAAUUUCUGUAUGUAAGUGUUACUGUUUGUAGUUGACUUUUUGUAUUUCGCAAGUUCCGUUCUUAUUUCGACUGCAGGAGUCAUCCACGGUGCAAACUCUUGUGUAGUGUUUUCCAGAAUUUCCGGAAGAGCGAUACCUUGCAAUUGAAUAUCCUCAUAAAACCUCACA